CCUACGGGAGGCUGCAGUGAGGAAUAUUGGUCAAUGGCCGGAAGGCUGAACCAGCCAAGUCGCGUGAGGGACGACUGCCCUAUGGGUUGUAAACCUCUUUUAUAAGGGAAGAAUAAAAGCUACGUGUACCAUGAUGCCUGUACCUUAUGAAUAAGCAUCGGCUAACUCCGUGCCAACAGCCGCGGUAAUACGGGGGAUGCGAGCGUUAUCCGGAUUUAUGGGGGUUAAAGGGGGCGUAGGGGGUGUUUUAAGUUGUUGGUUAAACGUCGGGGGUACACCUGAAUUGGCAAUUAAUACUGUUAGACUCGAGUACAGACGAGGUAGGCGGAAUAAGUUGAGUAGCGGUGAAAUGCUUAGAUAUAACUAAGAACUCCGAUAGCGAAGGCAGCUUACUAGACUGCGACUGACGCUGAGGCACGAAAGCGUGGGUAGCGAACAGGAUUAGAUACCCCAGUAGUC
rnacentral:rRNA from 1 species